rnacentral:rRNA from 1 species
CAGCGGCCCUAGUGGUGAUCGUUAUUAUUGGGCCUAAAGCGUCCGUAGCCGGUUCGGUAAAUCUCUGGGUAAAUCGUUGGGCUUAACUCAACGAAUUCUGGGGAGACUGCCGAACUUGGGACCGGGAGAGGUCGGAGGUACUCCAGGGGUAGGGGUGAAAUCCUGUAAUCCUUGGGGGACCACCGGUGGCGAAGGCGUCCGACCAGAACGGGUCCGACGGUAAGGGACGAAGCCCUGGGGCGCGAACCGGAUUAGAUACCCGCGUAGUCC